rnacentral:rRNA from 1 species
CGCAUGUACAAAUAGGAUAUGAAUGGCUAAAAGAUCACUAUGGUGAAGGGAUUAUUUCUGCUGGAGCCCGCAACCAUCAUGGCAACGAGCCCGAAACAUGGGAAUCCAAUAUCAGCCUCAUCAUUUAUGAGGCCGAUAAUUGCUCGGCAGCGGAAAGAAAAAAAUAUGAUCCUCAAAAUGACAAGGGGAAAGAAUGGCAUCGCAAGAUUCAACUUGCCAAUGUUUUUUCCCGGAUUCGUGAUCCUGUAAGGGUUAAAGAUGGCUCAUUUUUCCCCUCUAUGAGUUAUUAUCCAUUGGGUGUUCUUGGGGAAUGGAUCGAGCCUCUUGGAGAAGAGGGGGCUAACGACAAAGACGCGUAUCGCCGACUCUGGGCUGGAUUUUCACGCGAAUUCGAUAUCCUGAAGCGGAAGUCAUGUCAUUAUAACGUUGAAGCCAUUGCCCAUCUCCUAGAAAAAUAUACAUCUUUUAUCCCUGCCAUCACCCUGAAGGUUUAUGGUGGGGAUGAUGCAGCCUCUUAUCGUAAACAUCCCGACAUAUCCCUUUUCGAUCACCUGAAAAUAACCGCCGCGACAGCAUCUUGUCUCUAUGACUAUUAUGCUGCAAGGUAUCAAUCAAAAUUCAAUGAAAACGUGCUGAAAGAUGAAAUCACCAACUGGGAAACAAGCGGUGAUACAAACUCCGCACCCCUGCUUUUGAUUGGCGGCGACAUAUCCGGAGUCCAGAACUUCAUUUAUACGAUAUCCUCGAAAGGUGCUCUCAAAUCUCUCAAAGGACGAUCUUUCUAUCUGGAGCUUUUGAUUGAACAUACGGUGGAUAUGUUGCUCGAAGGGUUCGAUCAAACUCGGUGCAACAUCAUCUUUACCGGCGGAGGUCAUUUUUACCUCCUGGCUCCCAAUAGCGAAACGGCUCAGAAAACCGUCGCGUUUGUGCGUUCCAGGAUCAACGAUUAUCUAUUCAAGUCCUUCAAUGCUUCUCUUCAAAUGCACAUCGAUUUCGUGCCGUUCUUAAAGCAGAACUUCUCUGACGCAUCCGGCCCUUGGAGAGAGCUCGGCAGGAAAAUAGAAAGCUCGAAGCAGCGCAAAUGGGAGCACCACUUGGAAGACCUUCUGGACGAACCGGCCAUGCCGGAAGAAAGCUGCCUUACCAGAAACUGCGAAAUCUGCGGCAGAGAAGACCAGCCGCUCAACCCUCUAUCGGAUGACAAAUCCGAACUCCUUUCUUGCCAAUAUUGCCGGGAGCAGUACCUCCUGGGAAGCAGUCUUCAGGCGGCGGCACGAAAGAAAAACCGUGUGGUGAUCUAUAGAAUGAACGAUCGCCCAGCUGGUAAGAAUGACAUCUGCAUCAAUGACUGCUUUUAUCACAUUGGCGAGUCAUACAAAGACGAUGUGGGCAAAAAUGCUUGGGUAGGUCUGUGUAGGAUAGGUGGGAGACUUUGAAGCCGGGACGCUAGUUUCGGUGGAGUCGACCUUGAAAUACCACCCUGAUCUGCUCGGGAUACUAACCUGCUCCCGUUAUCCGGGAGAGGGACACUGUCUGGUGGGUAGUUUGACUGGGGCGGUCGCCUCCCAAAAUGUAACGGAGGCGCGCAAUGGUUCCCUCAGGCUGAUUGGAAACCAGCCGUCGAGUGUAAAGGCAUAAGGGAGCCUGACUGCGAGAGGGACACCUCAAGCAGGUGCGAAAGCAGGUCUUAGUGAUCCGGUGGUUCCGAAUGGAAGGGCCAUCGCUCAACGGAUAAAAGGUACCCCGGGGAUAACAGGCUUAUCUCCCCCAAGAGUUCACAUCGACGGGGAGGUUUGGCACCUCGAUGUCGGCUCAUCGCAUCCUGGGGCUGGAGCAGGUCCCAAGGGUAUGGCUGUUCGCCAUUUAAAGCGGUACGCGAGCUGGGUUUAGAACGUCGUGAGACAGUUCGGUCCCUAUCCUCCGUGGGCGGAGGAGAUUUGAGAGAAGCUGUCCCUAGUACGAGAGGACCGGGAUGGACGAACCUCUGGUGCUCCUGUUGUCGUGCCAACGGCAUAGCAGGGUAGCUACGUUCGGAACGGAUAACCGCUGAAAGCAUCUAAGUGGGAAGCCGUUCUCAAGAUUAGAUCUCCCUUCCGCUUCGUGCGGACUGAAGGCCUCCUGAAGACUACAGGAUUGAUAGGCUGGGUGUGUAAGCGCAGCAAUGCGUUGAGCUAACCAGUACUAAUCGGCCGUGAGGCUUGACC